AGAAACACUCUGCUACAGAACAAGUGUCUUGGUUCACAGCAAAGAGGACAAAGAAAACAGCAAGUUUUAGGGGGUUGAAUCCUGGAUUCCCCUGGCAAACACCAUUCUACUUUCCGUCUCUAUGAAUUUGACUACUCGAAGUACCUCAUGUGAAAUGUUGGUGCCAAAUGAACUUUUCUGGUUCUUCUGAAUAUGCCACUGUUGCUGGAGAAAUGUCACUGCUAGAGAACAGAAGACUAUUAUUCCAAAGGGUAUUUGAGACUGACUGAAUCAGGUCUGGAACAUUAUUGAAAUGAGACCCACAAAAGAAGAGAUACUGAGAGGAUGAAGAGAUCCUCCUAGCUUGGCGGAAUACUCUGCUCUGAUGGAAGUACCAUCCUGGUCCAAACAUGAAAGAAUUCCCAACAUCAAGAUUGAUUGAAACAUAUUCAAUGGGUGGUGACCAGAUGGAUAUAAACGGGCUGUGGAAAAAGAGAAUGCAUGGCCAAAAAUGGUGGUGCUCUCUGUCCAAAAACUGAGGCCCUAUGACCAUGAAUGAAGCCAGAGGGCAGGUAGGAAUAGAUCAUUUGCUCCAGAAGAAGCUGGUUGCCAUGUCUUGAGGACAGUAAACCCUCUGGGGAGGUUCCUGUGGUAAGGAACAAGGGCUCCUGGCAAUAGCCUCUGAGUGAGCCACCUUGAAAAUGGAUUGUCCAGCCCCAGUCAAGCUUUCAGAUGACUGUAGCUCCUGCCAAUGUCUUCACCACAACCUCAUGAGAUCCCAAGCUACAACCACUCAGAACUUCAUCUUUUGGGAAGCACCAGGGAGAGCUGCCUGUGCCUGGCAGAAGCUGCCCAUGCCCCACUGAUACCCCACAGUACUUCCUGUUCUGCUUAGUACUCCUGCUUCUUUCUACAAACAACUGUGAUUCUCUACCUGGGAGCUUCCUCUGGCCACAGGAGCCUGCUCACCUGAUUGGGACACCCUAGCAGUACUGUGCUUCCUGGAAUCAUCUCCCUCAUCAAUCAUUUGUUCCUAAAUUCUGUCUGAGUCUGUUUCUGAGGAAACCCAACCUGAGUCAUCGUCCCUCUUCUCCCCUCCUCACAUUCUCUUCACUGGGGGAGGAUGGAUUGAGUUGACUGGCAAAUUCGGGAGAAGGAGUUUGCAUCGGAGUGCGUGACUCAGCUGAGGCUGGGCUCUGUUUCUUCAGAAUGAAGUGCAUUCAGAUUCGAUGUGUAUCCUGUCUCUGGGAAGCCCCAUGCUCUGCUCAUCUUAGCAUGAUUACUAAGGUACACUCUGCCCUUGCAAGGGGAAGGCCCGAGAUUUGCUGCUGGCAGGCUCAGUGGGAGUUGGAUGUUUUAUGUAACCUGAUUGUGGAUAUAGAUCAAUUCAUGCUUUUCAAUUCAGUCCUCUCUCUAAUAAACUGCUGUCAUAA
ensembl:lncRNA STXBP5-AS1 STXBP5 antisense RNA 1